GACGAACGCUGGCGGCGUGCUUAACACAUGCAAGUCGAACGAAGUGGCGAACGGGUGAGUAACGCGUAAUCCACCUGCCCUUCAGAGGGGGACAACAGUUGGAAACGACUGCUAAUACCGCAUACUGAAGGAGGGGAUUGCGUCUGAUUAGCUAGUUGGAGGGGUAACGGCCCAACAAGGCGAUGAUCAGGAGCCGGUCUGAGAGGAUGAACGGCCAAAGUGGGACCGAGACACGGCCCAGACUUCUACGGGAGGCAGCAGGGGGGAAUCUUGCGCAAUGGACGAAAGGCUGACGGAGCAACGCCGCGGGAGUGAUGACGGCCUUUGGGUUGUAAAGCUCUGUUAAUCGGGACGCGGUACCGGAAUAGAAAGCCACGGCUAACUACGGGCCAGCAGCCGCGGUAAUUC
rnacentral:rRNA from 1 species